CCUACGGGAGGCAGCAGUGAGGAAUAUUGGUCAAUGGGCGGGAGCCUGAACCAGCCAAGUCGCGUGAGGGAAGACGGUCCUAUGGAUUGUAAACCUCUUUAGGCGGGGAGCAAUGCCGGGCACGCGUGCCCGGAGGGAGAGUACCCGCAGAAUAAGCAUCGGCUAACUCCGUGCCAGCAGCCGCGGUAAUACGGAGGAUGCGAGUGUUAUCCGGAUUUAUUGGGUUUAAAGGGUGCGUAGGCGGGAGAUCAAGUCAGCGGUAAAAUGUCGGGGCUCAACCCCGGCCGGCCGUUGAAACUGGGUUU
rnacentral:rRNA from 1 species